rnacentral:miRNA from 15 species
GCCCUAGGAGCUCAGUUCUGGU